AAAGGGUGCGUAGGUGGCCUGUUAAGUCAGGGGUGAAAGACGGUAGCUUAACUAUCGCAGUGCCCUUGAUACUGAUGGGCUUGAAUGAACUAGAGGUAGGCGGAAUGUGACAAGUAGCGGUGAAAUGCAUAGAUAUGUCACAGAACACCAAUUGCGAAGGCAGCUUACUAUGGUUUUAUUGACACUGAGGCACGAAAGCGUGGGGAUCAAACAGGAUUAGAUACCCGAGU
rnacentral:rRNA from 1 species